rfam:Bombyx mori DNA, contig: Bm_scaf135_contig39392, strain: p50T/Dazao, build 2, whole genome shotgun sequence.
UUAACUCAAAUUUGUAUGGAGUUGGAACGUUUGCCUACGUUUGCCGCUAGGGGCGCUGUUCCAACUGCAUACAAGUUUAAGUAA